AUGGAUGGAAAUGCAGCAGCUGAUGGGGGUGAGCCCACCUACGAUCCAAUGAAAGAUCCAACAAGGAAGCCACAACGGUCAAAUGAUCCGGGAUGGAACUAUGGAUAUUGGUCUGAGCCUCCAAAUCGGGAUCUUGUUGUGUGCGCUCUUUGUGGCAAGAUAACUUCUGGAGGGAUCAAGAGGCAUAAAGAGCAUCUUGCGGGCGUCGGGGGAGAUGCAAUUGGUUGUCCUAAGGCCACCACACAAUUGAGGAGAGAAAUGGGAACAUAUUUGGAGCAAAAUAGGAGGAUCAAGGGAGUAGUAGAUGUAGAUGAUGUUCAGGAGGUUGUGGAGGUGAGUUCAGUUGGAGCAAACAUCGCCUCUAAAAGGCCAAGCUCAGGGACAACAGCCAAACAGAAUAAAAAAGCGUUUAUCACCAACAUGCAAGGUAAAAAGAAGUCUGUUUCUGUUGUGUCUGCCGCCAAUAGUUCCAAGCCAAUUGUUGCCAUGCUACGAAGAACACCCGAGGAUCUUGUAGAUGAAAGACGCUCUGGGUGUUCUCAAAGCACCAUGGAGUCCAGCACAAAAACUCCAGAAGAGAGGCAGUAUGUCAAUAUGCAGUGGGCAUUGUUCUUUUACGAGUGUGGCAUUCCAUUCAACGCUGCAAGUAGUAGGCAGUUUGAGGUUGCAAUUGAAGCCUCUUGUCAAUAUGGGUCAGGUUACAAGCCUCCUAGUGCACAUGAGCUGAGAGAGAAAUUGCUUAAUGAUUGUGUGAAGGAAACAGGACUUUUGAGGAGGCAACACGAGGCAGCAUGGAAAAAAUAUGGAUGCACACUCAUGUCGGAUGGUUGGUCGGAUAAAAGAGGACGCCAUUUGAUUAACUUCCUUGUUAAUAGUCCAGAGGGCACUUUCUUCUUGGAGUCAGUUGAUGCCUCAAGUGUAUGUCAUGAUGGUGAUAUGAUAGCUGAAUUGCUUGAGAAGAGAAUUCUGGAUGUUGGAAAAGAGAAUGUGGUACAAGUUAUCACCGAUAAUGGUGCUAAUUACAAGAAAGUUGGCCACCUUCUAAUGGAGAGGAUGCCUACUCUAUAUUGGAGCCCGUGUGCAUGUCAUUGCUUGGACCUAAUGUUGGAAGAUAUAGGAAAGUUGAAGGCAUUUAAGAAGCCUAUUGCAGGGGCUAGACGUGUCACAACUUUCAUCUAUAGACAUGGAAGACUUCUUAGUCUAAUGAGGAAGGCCACGGGUGGGGAUCUUGUGAGACCAGCAGCCAUUCGUUUUGCCACAGCCAUCCUCACACUUAGGAGUUUGGUCAAGAACAAGGCUGCAUUGAGGAGUUUAUUUACAUCUGAAGAAUGGGUUGGAAACAAGUUAGCAAAAACACAAGUUGGCUUGAAUGUGCAAGAGAUUAUACUUUCAACGGAGUGGUGGAGCGCAAUUGAGGACUGCCUUAGAGCUUCAACUCCACUUCUUAGAGUUCUUAGAGUAGCAGAUGGUGAUGAGAAGCCUGCCAUGCCAGAGAUUAAAGCACUUAUGAUUUAUGCAAAGGAGAGGAUCAAUCUAGGUUUCCCUCAACAAAACAAGCAACCAUUGCUCAAGAAGAUCUUGGCCAUUGUUGAUAAGCGUUGGGAGAAUCAAAUGGAUCAUCCAUUGUAUGGGGCUGCUCUAUUUUUGAACCCAGGAAAGUUCUUUCCUAUUGUAAGCAGAAAUGAUGAUGCCUUAGUUGGGGAGCUUAGGAGCUGCUUUAAUGAUGUGCUUGCAAAAAUGGUACCGGAUGCCAAUGUUCGAAAAAAGAUUGAUCAACAAUCUGUGCUCUAUGAGCAACAGCGAGAAAGCUUUUCUAAUCCAUUGGCACUCGAGACCAUGAGCACAAGAAACCCUCGUAAGUCAUAUUAA
rnacentral:rRNA from 1 species